rnacentral:rRNA from 1 species
GAUGAACGCUAGCUACAGGCUUAACACAUGCAAGUCGAGGGGCAGCAUGGUCUUAGCUUGCUAAGGCCGAUGGCGACCGGCGCACGGGUGAGUAACACGUAUCCAACCUGCCGUCUACUCUUGGACAGCCUUCUGAAAGGAAGAUUAAUACAAGAUGGCAUCAUGAGUCCGCAUGUUCACAUGAUUAAAGGUAUUCCGGUAGACGAUGGGGAUGCGUUCCAUUAGAUAGUAGGCGGAGUAACGGCCCACCUAGUCUUCGAUGGAUAGGGGUUCUGAGAGGAAGGUCCCCCACAUUGGAACUGAGACACGGUCCAAACUCCUACGGGAGGCAGCAGUGAGGAAUAUUGGUCAAUGGGCGCAGGCCUGAACCAGCCAAGUAGCGUGAAGGAUGACUGCCCUAUGGGUUGUAAACUUCUUUUAUAAAGGAAUAAAGUCGGGUAUGGAUACCCGUUUGCAUGUACUUUAUGAAUAAGGAUCGGCUAACUCCGUGCCAGCAGCCGCGGUAAUACGGAGGAUCCGAGCGUUAUCCGGAUUUAUUGGGUUUAAAGGGAGCGUAGAUGGAUGUUUAAGUCAGUUGUGAAAGUUUGCAGCUCAACCGUAAAAUUGCAGUUGAUACUGGAUAUCUUGAGUGCAGUUGAGGCAGGCGGAAUUCGUGGUGUAGCGGUGAAAUGCUUAGAUAUCACGAAGAACUCCGAUUGCGAAGGCAGCCUGCUAAGCUGCAACUGACAUUGAGGCUCGAAAGUGUGGGUAUCAAACAGGAUUAGAUACCCUGGUAGUCCACACGGUAAACGAUGAAUACUCGCUGUUUGCGAUAUACAGCAAGCGGCCAAGCGAAAGCGUUAAGUAUUCCACCUGGGGAGUACGCCGGCAACGGUGAAACUCAAAGGAAUUGACGGGGGCCCGCACAAGCGGAGGAACAUGUGGUUUAAUUCGAUGAUGCGCGAGGAACCUUACCCGGGCUUAAAUUGCAGAUGAAUUACGGUGAAAGCCGUAAGCCGCAAGGCAUCUGUGAAGGUGCUGCAUGGUUGUCGUCAGCUCGUGCCGUGAGGUGUCGGCUUAAGUGCCAUAACGAGCGCAACCCUUGUUGUCAGUUACUAACAGGUUCCGCUGAGGACUCUGACAAGACUGCCAUCGUAAGAUGUGAGGAAGGUGGGGAUGACGUCAAAUCAGCACGGCCCUUACGUCCGGGGCUACACACGUGUUACAAUGGGGGGUACAGAGGGCCGCUACCACGCGAGUGGAUGCCAAUCCCCAAAACCUCUCUCAGUUCGGACUGGAGUCUGCAACCCGACUCCACGAAGCUGGAUUCGCUAGUAAUCGCGCAUCAGCCACGGCGCGGUGAAUACGUUCCCGGGCCUUGUACACACCGCCCGUCAAGCCAUGGGAGCCGGGGGUACCUGAAGUGCGUAACCGCGAGGAGCGCCCUAGGGUAAAAC